rnacentral:rRNA from 1 species
ACUGGUGUCAGCCGCCGCGGUAAUACCAGCUCUCCGAGUGGUAGGGAUGAUUAUUGGGCUUAAAGCGUCCGUAGCCGGCUUCGCAAGUCUCCUGUUAAAUUCAGCGACCUAAUCGUUGAGCCGCGGGAGAUACUACUAGGCUAGGAGGCGGGAGAGGUCGACGGUACGUCCGGGGUAGGGGUGAAAUCCUAUAAUCCCGGGAGGACCACCAGUGGCGAAGGCUGUCGACUAGAACGCGCUCGACGGUGAGGGACGGAAGCUGGGGGAGCGAACCGGAUUAGAUACCCGGGUAGUCCCAGCUGUAAACGAUGCGGGCUAGGUGUUGGGGUGGCUACGAGCCACUUCAGUGCCGCAGGGAAGCCAUUAA